CCUGCUGCCCCUAGCCUAGUACUGACUCCGUAUAAAUAUUCCCCGAGUCCUCAUCUGUCGAUUUUCCCCAAAAUCUCUAUCACCCGUGCCCUUGAACGGCUGUUCGAUCUCGCCGGAGUUCAGCCGCUGUUGACCUCCGCCAUCUUCGUUUCCGUCGUCGACAGGGGGGAGCACCAGGACGCCGCCCAUGAGCCCAACCCGAAGAAGAUCGCCGCCGCGCCAUAGCUUGAGCACUGCCGCUAGCAGACGCCACCCCCGUCGCCGUGGACGCCGUCAAAGUCAUCUCCGUCGUACGCCGCUCCCUCCUGUACUUCAGCCAUCUCCGGGGGGCCACCGUAGCCGUCGCCACCAUCGUCCAGGGCCUCGCCGCCGCCGUCUCGUUCAAGUCCGGUGCUGCCCCAGCCUCUGCUUUCCAAUUGUCCGGAGUGUGAAGCGGAUCAGAAUUGAGCGUUAGAGUACUUCAACACCGUUCAAGGCAAGUUGCACUUUUGAUUAUGCUCAUCCUAUAUGUCUGUUGUGCACUGUUAUGAUAUGUUAUAUGCUUGGUAUGACUCUUAUAUUGCUAGUCGCCAUGUGCGUGUCCUGUUUGCAUUGUUUAAUUGUAUGCUUGGAUUUGCUAUGGUAGACGUGGGUAUGUGUCGAGUGGUGCAUGGAAGUGGUGAGCCUUUAUAGCUGUAGGCUCGGGACUUUUUCUCAGGUGAAUGCGUCAAUGGUUGUGCGCUCUAUUGUCCCUAGAGAAUGCGCCAUGACUGAGCGCAUUUGGGUUGUCGGGGCUUUUUCUCACGUGAAUGCGUCACUGGCUGAGUGCUCUAUUGUCCCUAGAGAAUGCUUCAGGACUGAGCGCACUUGAGACAUCUUGAAGAUCUUUAUCAUCUGUAUUGUUUGCACCUUGCCUAUGUCGUGGAGGUAGGUGAAGGUAGUUU